GGGGUACUGGGAAUCAAACUCAGGACCUUGCUCUUGUGAGACAGGUGGCAGAACAACUGAGCUAAAUCCCAGCCAAUUCAGUGUUUUUUAAUUACAGCUCACAAACACACUGAACAAAAGAGGAUUUCCACAGCAGCUUCAGAAAGUGGUGAAAAGCGUGAGACAAGCACAUUCAAAUCAAGAGGGAGAAUUUCUAGGGAGAUUAAUAGGAAUGUUUCUUUUACUGUAAUAAUUUUUUUUAAAAAAUGUAAACACUUACUGUGUAUUUCAUUCACACCUUGUAUAAUGUUCCUUUCCAGAAAAACUCUGUGAAGUAAAUAUUGAUGUCUGUAUUUUACAAAUGAUAAACUUGAGGCCCAGAGAAAUGGAAUAUCCUCCCUUCCCCAGCUCCCUCCUCAUCCUACAGGUUGCAUUACCUCCUAAGGUUUCUGCCUUUCUUGCAUUCCAGCUCCUUGUGAUAAGAGAUACAUGUCAAGCCAGCAUGAGAAAACCAGUCAAAUAACAAUUUUCUUAAAAACUUGUGUGAUGUAUGUUACAUGUCACCACACUUAGGGAUGCUCAGUCACCAGUCAAAACAAUGUUACAAACUAAACUUGGAGGUUAGACAUUACAAACUCCUAAGGUACAUUUAUAGGCCAAUAUGUAUGUUUGCCUUAGAUGGUAUACUACUAAAGGAUAACAAAUGAGAUUUUUCUUCAUGUCAUUUAAUGUCUUGUGAUCAG
rnacentral:lncRNA from 1 species